rnacentral:rRNA from 1 species
UACAGAGGUGGCAAGCGUUGUUCGGAAUUACUGGGCGUAAAGGGCGAGUAGGCGGCGUUCUAAGUCAGACGUGAAAUCCCCCGGCUUAACCUGGGAACUGCGUCUGAUACUGGGAGGCUAGAGUAUGGGAGAGGGAUGUGGAAUUCCAGGUGUAGCGGUGAAAUGCGUAGAUAUCUGGAGGAACACCGGUGGCGAAGGCGGCAUCCUGGACCAUAACUGACGCUGAUCCGCGAAAGCUAGGGGAGCAAACGGG